UUUUUUUUUUUGAAAGUAAACAUAAUUAGAAGAAAUGUGCAUGUGCUCUUCCUACUGUCCAGCCUUUCCCACCAUUUGAGCUGCUUCUGUUAUGUUGGGGUUUCCCUGGUGGCUCAAUCUAUCUGCCAUUGCAGGAGACUUGAGUUUGAGCCUUGGGUUGGGGAGAUCCCCUGCAGAAGGGAAUGGCUACCUGCUCCAGUAUUCUUGCCUGGAGAAUCCCAUGGAUAGAGGAGCCUGGCAGGCUACCAUCCAUGGGGUCACAAAGACUGGACAGGGCUGAACAACUAACACUUUCACUUUUUUGUUAUGUUGGCCCCUUAUAAGCCCAUCUUCCAUUCCCAUUCCUGCCUGUGGCCUAUGCUCUGGCACAUUCUUGCACAUGGAAUACUCUCCUCCAUUAACUCCAGUUCCUCAGAGCCUACACACCCCUCAAACUGAACAUUUGUUCAUUUAUCUAUUUCAUAUUGAUACAUAUUUAGUAAAAAUCUGAUAUAUUAAUGAAAUUAUGCUUAUCUGUUUCCUGCUUCUAUAGUAUGUAGUUAAUACAGUUCUACAGUGAACUGUUUGUGCUUUGUUUUUGCCAUAGUAAAAGUCGGUUGAGUGUAUUGUAAGUUACUGGAGGAAAGGGACCAUGCUUUUGUAUUUUCUCUCCUGACGUGUCUAUAGCACUGAAAUGUAGUGAUAUAUUUUACUUAGUUUGAUUGCUUUAGGUUGAAGUUGUCCUUUGAAAGAGAAAAUCUGUUUUGAAGUAGAGAAUAGCUAUGCAUUUUGUUUCUCUGAAGAAUCAUCUUUUACUUUCAAAUGAGAUUUCCCAAGUUCAAAGGACAACCAAAAAAUUAGUCUUAAAACUGCUCGAUGAUGCUGUUGCCAGUUCUACAAGAGGUUUGUACCUAAUAUACUACUACUCAAACCAUUUUUCCUCUGAAAAUUAUCUUUCCAUUUUAGCUCUUUGCCUAACUUCAUAAUGGAAAGCUUCCUUCUUGAGGAUUCAGUUUGCCAUCCAGUUCAUCUCUCAUGUUCAAAACUACUUUUGGUUGUUCAUGAAUAAGCUUGGACCUUUUCCUAGAAAAAUCCGAUUCUGGCUAGUGGGUGUCAUGAAAGCUUCUGUUGGUCAUUUAAAACGUGUAGCCAAGAAACUCAUAACUGUCUUUACUCUUUUACCCAGAAUCAUGGUAUAAUUACAGACAAUCAAACAAAACAACAGUGAGAAUAACACCGGCAAGCUAUGGAGCAUUUAGGGACGCUUGUGAAAAGCAAGAAAUAGGAAAAGAACACUAGAUUCCACGUGUAAGUGAAAUAAUGUGGUAUUUAUCUGACUUAUUUCAUGUGGCAUAAUAGGUAUCCAUGAUCUGUUGUACAUAUAUACAACAUCUUUUUCGAUUCAUCUGUAAGUGGACACUUCGGCUGCUUUCAUAUCUUGGCUUUUGUAAGUAAUGCUGCAUUGAAGAUAGGGUUGCAUAUAUCUCUUUGAAUCAGUGUUUUAAUUUUCUUUGGAAAAAUGUCUGGAAGGGGAAUUGCUCAAUCAUAUGAUAGUUCUGGUUUUUAUUUUUAAAGAAACUUCCAUACGGUUUUUCAUAGUGGCUAUACCAAUUUGCAUUCCCACCAACAGUGCCUGAAGGUUCCCUUUUCUCUACAUUCUUGCCAACAUUUGUUAUUUGUUUUUGUUUUGAUAAUAGUCAGUGACAGGUGUGAGGUAAUACCUUAUUGUAGUUUUGAUUUCCAGUUCCCUAAUGAGGAGGCCUAUUGAGCAUCUUUUCAUGCCUAUUGGCUAUAUGUAUGUCAUCUUUAGGGAAAAAUGUCUAUUCAGAUCCACUGAAUUAUUUUUUUAUUUUGCAUUCAGUUCAUUCAUGUCCGAUUCUCUGUGACCCCAUGGAUUGCAAUACACCAGGCUUCCCUGUCCAUUACCAACUCCUAGAACCUGCUCAAACUCAUGUCCAUCGAGUUUGUGAUGCCAUUCAAACCUUCUAAUCCUCUGUCAUCCCCUUCUCUUCCUGCCUUCAAUCUUUCCCAGCAUCAGAGUCUUUUCCAAUCAAUCAGUUCUUUGCAUUAGGUGGCCAAGGUAUUAGAGUUUCAGUUUUAUCACUAGUCCUUCCAAUGGAUAUUCAGGACUGAUUUUCUUUAGGAUGGACUGGUUCGAUCUCCUUGCAGUCCAGGGGACUCUCAAGGGUCUUCUCUAACACCACAGUUCAAAAGCAUCAAUUCUUCAGUGCUCAGCUUUCUUGAUAAUGCAACUCUCACAUCCAUACAUGAUUACUGGAAAGACCAAAGCUUUGACUAGACGGACCUUUGUUGGCAAAGUAAUGUCUCUGCUUUUUGUGCUGUCUAGGUUGGUCAUAGCUUUUGAAGAAAAGGAGCAAGUGUCUUUUAAUUUCAUGGCUGCAGUCACCAUCUGCAGUGAUUUUUGGAGCCCCCCAAAAUAAAGUCUGUCACUGUUUCCAUUGUUUUCCCACCUAUUUGCCAUGAAGUGAUGUGACUGGAUGCCAAGAUCUUAGUUUUCAGGAAUGUUGAACUUUAUGCCAACUUUUUCACUCUCCUCUUUAACUUUCAUCAGGAGGCUUCUUUAGUUCUUUGUUUUCUGCCAUAACUCCUUUUGAAUAUGUGAUUUGCGGAUAUCUUCUGCCAUUCAAUAGGUUGCCUUUUCAUUUUUUUCAUAGCUUCCUUCAGUUUUCGGAAGCCUUUUCAUUUGAUGUAGCCCUAUUUGUUUAUUUUUGGGUUUUUUUUUUGGACUUGUUUUGGAAGUCAGAGUCACAAAAACAUCACUAAAGCCAAUAUCAGGGAGUUUAUCACCUGUGUUUUCUUCUAGGAGUUUUAUGAUUUCAGAUCUUAUAUCUAAGUGUUUGAUCCAUUUUGAGUUAACUUUUGUUUUUGAUCUAUUUGCAUAUAAAGUAUAUGUAUAUGUUUUUAUUUGAUGUAUUUGUAUUUACAAAUUGUACAUAUAGUUUAUAUAUGGUAUUUAUGAUUUUGCAUGUAGCUAUCUAGCAAAUUGUGUGAUGCUAUUACAUAUGCUAAUACCCCCAACUCCGUAUUUUAUAAACUCCCCUUUCCCCAUUAUAUAUUCUUAUCUCCUUUGUCAUAAAUUAACUGACCACAUAUGUGUAAACAACAUUAACCUUCACUGAUUAGUUUAAC
ensembl:lncRNA